rnacentral:rRNA from 1 species
GCAAGCGUUGUCCGGAAUUAUUGGGCGUAAAGAGCUCGUAGGCGGUUGGUCGCGUCGGCUGUGAAAACCCGGAGCUCAACUCCGGGCCUGCAGUCGAUACGGGCCGACUUGAGUGUUGCAGGGGAGACUGGAAUUCCUGGUGUAGCGGUGAAAUGCGCAGAUAUCAGGAGGAACACCGGUGGCGAAGGCGGGUCUCUGGGCAACAACUGACGCUGAGGAGCGAAAGCGUGGGGAGCGAACAGGAUUAGAUACCCUGGUAGUCCACGCCGUAAACGUUGGGCGCUAGGUGUGGGGGCCAUUCCACGGUCUCCGUGCCGCAGCUAACGCAUUAAGCGCCCCGCCUGGGGAGUACGGCCGCAAGGCUAAAACUCAAAGGAAUUGACGGGGGCCCGCACAAGCGGCGGAGCAUGUUGCUUAAUUCGAUGCAACGCGAAGAACCUUACCUAGGCUUGACAUGCACGGAAAUCCUCCAGAGAUGGGGGGUCCGUAAGGGCCGUGCACAGGUGGUGCAUGGUUGUCGUCAGCUCGUGUC